UACGGAGGGUGCGAGCGUUGUCCGGAAUCAUUGGGCGUAAAGCGCGCGUAGGUGGCUUCAUAAGUCCGUUGUGAAAGUCAAAGGCUCAACCUUUGAAAGCCGAUGGAUACUGUGAAGCUAGAGUACGGAAGAGGCGAGUGGAAUUCCUGGUGUAGCGGUGGAAUGCGCAGAUAUCAGGAGGAACACCAAUAGCGAAGGCAGCUCGCUGGGACGUUACUGACACUGAGGCGCGAAGCGUGGGAGCGAACAGG
rnacentral:rRNA from 1 species